AAACUCCCCGCGGGAGAGACCGGCGAAUAUGCCGGCGCCGAAGGCGCAACCGCCCCGGAAACGCUCAGGCCAAGGGACCGCGGGAGAGAC
rnacentral:ncRNA from 2 species